rnacentral:rRNA from 1 species
GUACACUCCUGCGGGGGCAGCAGUGGGGAAUAUUGGACAAUGGGCGCAAGCCUGAUCCAGCCAUGCCGCGUGAGUGAUGAAGGCCCUAGGGUUGUAAAGCUCUUUCACCGGUGAAGAUAAUGACGGUAACCGGAGAAGAAGCCCCGGCUAACUUCGUGCCAGCAGCCGCGGUAAUACGAAGGGGGCUAGCGUUGUUCGGAUUUACUGGGCGUAAAGCGCACGUAGGCGGACUAUUAAGUCAGGGGUGAAAUCCCGGGGCUCAACCCCGGAACUGCCUUUGAUACUGGUAGUCUUGAGUUCGAGAGAGGUGAGUGGAAUUCCGAGUGUAGAGGUGAAAUUCGUAGAUAUUCGGAGGAACACCAGUGGCGAAGGCGGCUCACUGGCUCGAUACUGACGCUGAGGUGCGAAAGCGUGGGGAGCAAACAGGAUUAGAAACCCCGGUAGUCCCAUGA